AACCGGGUCCCAGCCUUCAGCUGGUUUCGGACACAUGGACCUGGCUGGGACAGUAUG
rnacentral:miRNA from 1 species